AGUUUGAUCCUGGCUCAGGAUGAACGCUAGCUACAGGCUUAACACAUGCAAGUCGAGGGGCAGCAUUGGAGUAGCAAUACUUCAGAUGGCGACCGGCGCACGGGUGAGUAACACGUAUCCAACCUGCCGCUUACUCGGGGAUAGCCUUUCGAAAGAAAGAUUAAUACCCGAUGGUAUAAAGAGUUCGCAUGUUCUCUUUAUUAAAGAAUUUCGGUAAGCGAUGGGGAUGCGUUCCAUUAGAUUGUUGGCGGGGUAACGGCCCACCAAGUCUACGAUGGAUAGGGGUUCUGAGAGGAAGGUCCCCCACAUUGGAACUGAGACACGGUCCAAACUCCUACGGGAGGCAGCAGUGAGGAAUAUUGGUCAAUGGACGAGAGUCUGAACCAGCCAAGUAGCGUGAAGGAUGACUGCCCUAUGGGUUGUAAACUUCUUUUAUAAGGGAAUAAAGUGAGGGACGUGUCCCUUUUUGUAUGUACCUUAUGAAUAAGGAUCGGCUAACUCCGUGCCAGCAGCCGCGGUAAUACGGAGGAUCCGAGCGUUAUCCGGAUUUAUUGGGUUUAAAGAGAGCGUAGGUUGACAUAUAAGUCAGCUGUGAAAGUUUACGGCUCAACCGUGAAAUUGCAGUUGAUACUGUAUGUCUUGAGUGUACAAGAGGUGGGCGGAAUUCGUGGUGUAGCGGUGAAAUGCUUAGAUAUCACGAAGAACUCCAAUUGCGAAGGCAGCUCACUGGGGUACAACUGACACUGAGGCUCGAAAGUGUGGGUAUCAAACAGGAUUAGAUACCCUGGUAGUCCACACAGUAAACGAUGAAUACUCGCUGUUUGCGAUAUACAGUAAGCGGCCAAGCGAAAGCAUUAAGUAUUCCACCUGGGGAGUACGCCGGCAACGGUGAAACUCAAAGGAAUUGACGGGGGCCCGCACAAGCGGAGGAACAUGUGGUUUAAUUCGAUGAUACGCGAGGAACCUUACCCGGGCUUGAAUUGCAGAGGAACAUAGUUGAAAGAUUAUGGCCGCAAGGUCUCUGUGAAGGUGCUGCAUGGUUGUCGUCAGCUCGUGCCGUGAGGUGUCGGCUUAAGUGCCAUAACGAGCGCAACCCUUAUCAUUAGUUACUAACAGGUCAUGCUGAGGACUCUAGUGAGACUGCCGUCGUAAGAUGUGAGGAAGGUGG
rnacentral:rRNA from 1 species